GCGGCACCGGUUCCCUCCGCAGCAUGAGCUGUGCCCUGACGGGAUUAGUCAUCCUGUACCGCACUACCAGAUGGGGACCAGCGCUGCAGUGGGAAGCCACUGGUUGACAGCACAACUGGGACGCCUCGGGAGAACAUUGCUGGGUCCCUGACUCUGGACCCAGGCUGCUCCAAGCAGCUUCCAAAACUGAGUUCACUCCUUUAUAAACAAGUUAAUUUUUGGGGUGCUUUUUUCCCCUCUCCAGCUCCUCUUGGAAAGCUGCUCCUUAACCUAUGCAAUGCUGGAAGAUCUGCUCUGUCUGGGAGCACACUGCUGCCUAGUAGGUCGUUGCCACAGCUGGCAUCCUUACCACUGGCUUUCUUUGUUCAGCCAAAAUUUCUGUUCCUCUCCCAGCCCUUGUUCUGCUGGAAGAAAGGGGCAGGCAUACAGGCAGCCUGCAUGGCCACAUCUCCACAUAUGCCAGUGCCCCAAAGCACAGCAUGGGGACAAAAGCAGAACCACAAAUGGGAUAGGACAAAAGACUUCGCUAUGAGGUUUUUAAUGUGAACCUGAUGCCAGUGAAGAAAGGGAAGUGAUGUUGUUACAGCAAUAACCCUGAGGAACAUCAGCUGUUAUUGAUGAGGACAAGUAAAAGGGCACAUUUGCAUGCAGCUAAUAUUUAAUAUUUACUUUCCUAUUGGAGGCAAAGAAAAUAGCUUGGUUGUGCUGCCUACCACAAGUGGCAAAUCUCUUUUUCUCCCUUAGAACGGGUUUUUGGCAUGUGGCCUCGUCUUGCAAAACACAGCAACCCUCCCCUCAUUCAUGUGGUAAAAAUCCUUCUUGCUCACUUGCAGGCGAGAUAUGAACAGAUAUCAAAUGCAGCGUUUCUCUCCACUUUUACUUGGGUUAAGAUGUGUCUCUGCAGCCUGAAGUGCAGCCCUGUCACAGCAGUGAUCAUCACCACUUGGAUGUCACUGCCUCCCUACAUUGGCAUGCAAGAUACACAUUUGAGGAAGUAGAUGAGGAAUGAUGAGAACAUCAAACUCUGUGACUGAUGCACUUUAAGAUUAAGCACCCACAGAUGGAUGGGUGGAAGCACAGGUAGGCAGGAUGUGGCCCUGAAGGUAGGUUUCCCCUCAAGGUACAAGUGCCACAGCCAUUGCCCUGAGUUGUGCUAGGAGCUGGCCAGGGGUGCUGGCAAUGCUGGGACCCUUCCAUGGCCACCCACCCUUCCCACAAGCCUGACAGGCACAGGAAACAGCAUCAACACUGCCUUCUAAUAAAGCAAACUGUUCAGAAAUACCAUUUUGCCUCAUUAAAAAACUAUUUGCUGACCAGAAAUCAUGUUUUAUUUGAAGUGUUCCAGUCAACAUUCCUGCAGCCCCUGGCAGGUAGAGCUAGAAGACUGGGCCAAUCCUCCUGCAACAAUGGUGAAGGAGUUUAACACACUUUCUGCCAAGAUCUUUCUAAAAGUUAAGAAAGAAUAGGGAAAUAGACAUUUCUGCCACUUCAGAAUUCACACAUUGUUCAGCAAGUUGUGGCAUUGGGCAGCUUUGGCUGUGCUCAGUGAUGUUUCGCAUAGCCUCAAAUUUGUUUAUAUUAUUAGUUUUUGACAGUGCUGCACUGCAAAGACAUGACAGCAGCAAUAAAACCAAGAGAGAGCUGUUUUGGCCAGAAAACAUGAACAUCAAAGAAAAAAAAUAUCUUUGUUGUUCUUAUAUAAGUCUUGUGUAUGUUUUUAUAUAUGCUCUUGUGUGUGAAUAGAAGUGUAUAUAUAUAGUAUCUAUGUAUAUAUAUAAAUAUGUACACACAUGUAUAUACACAUUAAACAUAUACACAUUAUAGAUAUGUAUCUAAAAUCCAGCCUGCCCCUGCUGCACUUGCCCAGUGGACUGGGAGAUCCUGUAGCCUGACAGGCACCACGAAGGAGCAACAUAAAUAAAUAUAGAACUAGAAGGAUACCUUGGGCUGUAUUUUGGAAGAUCACACUCCCAUUCACCGUCUACCAUCCUCGGCAAAGGGUUUUCCAAGCUAGCUUUUAAAUUACACACUGUAAAAAUUCCAACACAGGAAAUGCUCGCAUUGCUUAGUGCUAAGUCACUAACCAGCCCCGGUUCAGAAUCAGGCACCUCAGCCUAGUUUCCCUUUAAAGUGUGCCCAGAAAUUCAACGUGAUGUUUUUCCCUUUUCACACAGUAGUAACCGUGAGGUUUGGGAUCAUGCAAACGAAAAGGAAAGAGAGGAACAGAGAUGACAAUGAGGAAAAAGCACUCUUGCCUUGGUCUGGAGUGGCUGUUUCUGCGCGGGUUCUGCAGUGGCUCUGGGAUGCAUCAAAGAGCGGAGAGCUGGAGCGGCGAAGCCCACCCAGCCCUCGCCAUGGGAGGGUGCGGGUGAGGCCAGCGGGAGCCCCGUUCCCGGCUCUGCCCAAGGCAGGGACACAGUGUUAAUUGUGUCAGCGCUAUUGCACAACACUGUUGCCUUGACACUGUGUCAUGUAAAGAUUUUAAACUGCCUCUUUAUUAGUCAUCCUCUAUUCAUUUUAAUUGUACCUGAUAAGCAGGGCCAUUUCACCUUUUUCUGUAUGCCCUUAUUGUGCGUAUUUAUGUAGCCCAAGAGACUUUCAAUCUCUUCCUGUAGUGUUGGUAGAUGCAGAGGAAUGAGGAGGCAUUGCCAUCACAGCCUGCUGGGGUUCUCACCCGUUUGCUUGCAACGUUUUCAUAGCCCUGCUCUCCCAGCGUAUCUCCACAGGUCCUUGAUCCUGGCACCACCAAUGCUCCAACAGAUGCUUAGGUUAAUGCAUGGGAAGCAGUAAGAAGGGAUAGGCUGACUGAAACAUGCACCUAAUUUUUUUUUUCAGGAUCAUGUGCUGUAGGUGUGUGCUUAACACCACGGGACUGACUUUGAUCUUCUCCCAGGAUAGAAUUUUCUAUGGGUUAAAUUCUUGCCUCUGAAUUAGGGCAUCGGUUAUUUAACAAAAUCAGAGGUGGGAGAUGAAUAACUAAUUAUUUGAUUUAAUGCAAAGAAUACAGUGAAAGUUUAUGGAAUAUUUUAUGCCCACUUACUUGCAACAUAAAAAUAGACUGCCUGAGAAUUUACCUGUGUGACCUCUGUCCCUGAAAUUCCUUACCUAGCCUUAUCUUUGUGAAAUCUGAAGUUUCACUGAAAGUUCCUGGAAAUAGUGCAUUUUUCCUUCUGUGGUAUUAUGGCCUUCUCAUCCCAAACAUCCUGUGUGUUUGCUGUGGGAGAAGGAAGGGCCCUUUGGCCAGGGACAACACUGCCCACCUGUAAGAGCAGUGCAGGCAGGUGACACAGCUGCUUCCCCAGCACCUGGAGCACUGCUGACACUGCACAGACUGUUUGCUUAGAGCAUGUCUGCUUCAGGAAAAUUACCAGAGUCCUUCUCCAUCUGAGGUUGGAUUUAUUCUCUGGAUUUAUUUAGUUUCACCUUAGUUUUCCCCAUUUAAAAAGACUCAAAGCUAGAAUUUAGGUUUGAGCUAGAAUCAUGUGAGGAGAUGGGUAAAAUUCCAUUCUCAGUUAAGUUCAGAAAAAGGAACGGAAAUGCCAUUAAAGGCAGAACAAAAAACACAUUUACUCCUGAGUGAACAGGAUUUUUCCCCUAGCAUGAGAUCUUGCAUUCCUAUGGGCUGAAAUGAGCUACUCACUGUCCUACCCAGCAUCUUCAAGGACCACUUGGAAUAUUUAUGCAACUGCUUAAAAGGAUUAUAAACAUACAUGAGUGAGUUAAUCACCAUUUAGGACAAAAGUCCACCUAAGUUUUUGAGAACCAACAGGAAUAUUUUCAUUUUCAUCACCCAGGACCUUAUUUUGUAGAAAUGAUUUAAGAUGCUUCUUAUAGAGGCAACAGUAGUACCCAAAUUUGGUGUGUAUUUAACGCUCUGUAUUGCCUUGUUCUGGAGUAAUACCUUGGCCAGAUAAACAAAUGUAUUUAUUUGAAAAGCUAAGAAGUUCCCAAGUCAUAUUUUGGUCCUGAAAAAGAUCAAAGAAUACUUUUCAUGUGGCUGCUUGUACUUCCAAAAAAAAUAUUAUUUUAGUAAAGGAAAAAAGUGUUCUGUCUUAACUACAGUAAAAUAUUCUCUGAUAAGUA